UACGUAGGUGGCGAGCGUUGUCCGGAUUUAUUGGGCGUAAAGCGCGCGCAGGUGGUGCGGUAAGUCUGUCGUGAAAUCUCCCGGCUCAACUGGGAGGGUGCGGUGGAGACUGCCGGACUAGAGGCACUCAGAGGCCGGUGGAAUUCCCGGUGUAGUGGUGAAAUGCGUAGAGAUCGGGAGGAACACCAGUGGCGAAGGCGGCCGGCUGGGGGUGACCUGACGCUGAGGCGCGAAAGCGUGGGGAGCGAACCGG
rnacentral:rRNA from 1 species